CAUAAAAAAAGACAAAGUCGUGCCAUUUGAGACAAUGUGGAUGGACCUUGAGGGCGUUAUGACCUGAUUUGCAGGCAUAAAUGUAUGUGCACGGACUGACCCAAGGCCUCGAGGUUUCCCCCAAAUGGGAAAACCCACAUCUGCUCUACAGACUGGGCUGCAGCGGGCGCUCGGAUGGGAAGGGCGUGGCCAUCUGUCUGGCCAUCUGUGAUGCCUUCAUGCAGGAGAUAAACAGCAUCGACCGUGCCUCAAAAGCUAAAGGACUCGCAUUGGUGGGCACCCUGGUGCCAUUUGCAGAAGAGGAAACUGGGACUCAGAGAUUCAGAUAACCUUCUCAAUCCUGAGGUGGUCAACACCCAAACCCCUCACUCCUCUGCUGCCUUAUUCCCUUAGCGAAGACCAUUAUGGUAACCUGGAGUUUUGGCUGCCCAAGAGCAGGGACCCAAAUGCUCAGAGUGGGGUUCCACCUCAGAUCUGUGUGCUUCCCUGUACAGCCCACCUUCCCCGACGUGUAAAGAUGCCUUACCAAGUUUCAUAAGAGCACCUUGUCUAUUGUAUGCUCCAGGAGGACCCUUUAAACCUCGGUUCACAGGUUUUAAAGUUGAUCUCCUUUGUCUGCAUCGGCAGCAGCAAAGACAACAUCAGUGUCAUCGAUGGAACAGCAGAGAUAUUUUCAAGGGCUCACUGUGUGCCUAAAACAGUCCUGGGUGCUGUGGAAAAUGCAGGGGUAAGGAAUAUACAGACCACACUUGCAAGGAAUGUGCAGCCUUCAUCAGACCUAAGAGGCGUGAGCGUACAGAAAAUGACGAGCAGUGACGCUAUGGGGACCAUUUCCCUCAUCAGAUGGACAAGAGAAUCAAGUCAGCUGCUCCUCCCCUUCAUUUGCAUAUUCCGCAGUUGCUCUGCUCAUUUCAGUAGCAAUGUUAAUUCUUUGGAUAUCUCAUUUCUCUAGGCACAGCCAUUUGCCAUGUUAUUUUUCUGACUGUUUCUAAUUAGAUACAUUUCUGAAGGACUUAUUCCUCACAACUAUGAUAUGAUCCAACAUGAGCUUGAGCUUCACUUUAUACUGCAGAAUUCUUCAGUACCUGAUAUAUUUUGUUGUGAGUUAUCUUUUUAAAAAAUUAUUUUAUUGAAGUCAUAUUGGCUUAUGGCAUUGUGUAGAUUCCAGGUGUACAUCAUUAUA